rnacentral:rRNA from 1 species
UGGGGAAUUUUGGACAAUGGGCGAAAGCCUGAUCCAGCAAUGCCGCGUGUGUGAAGAAGGCCUUCGGGUUGUAAAGCACUUUUGUCCGGAAAGAAAUCCUUGGCUCUAAUACAGUCGGGGGAUGACGGUACCGGAAGAAUAAGCACCGGCUAACUACGUGCCAGCAGCCGCGGUAAUACGUAGGGUGCAAGCGUUAAUCGGAAUUACUGGGCGUAAAGCGUGCGCAGGCGGUUUGCUAAGACCGAUGUGAAAUCCCCGGGCUCAACCUGGGAACUGCAUUGGUGACUGGCAGGCUAGAGUAUGGCAGAGGGGGGUAGAAUUCCACGUGUAGCAGUGAAAUGCGUAGAGAUGUGGAGGAAUACCGAUGGCGAAGGCAGCCCCCUGGGCCAAUACUGACGCUCAUGCACGAAAGCGUGGGGAGCAAACAGGAUUAGAUACCCUGGUAGUCCACGCCCUAAAACGAUGUCAACUAGUUGUUGGGGAUUCAUUUCCUUAGUAGCGUAGCUAACGCGUGAAGUUGACCGCCUGGGGAGUACGGUCGCAAGAUU